UCCCCUCCCCGCCUCGCCGCUCCGCUCGCGGGCUCGCGGGCUCCCUCGCUCUCUCCCUUCCCCCGCCGCUGCCGGCGCCGCGCCGAGCGGAGCCCGGCCGGCCACGGGCUGCCUCUCCCGAGGUCCCUUUCCCGAGGGGGGGAGGUGGUGGGGGCGCGGCGCAGGCGGGGCGGGGAGGAGAGGAGAGUCCGGGGGAGGCGGCAAGGCUGCGCCCUCGGCUCCCCUCCGAUCCCCGCGGGCCCAGCGGCCCCAGGCCGGGCCGGAGAGCGCCGAGCCGCCAGGCAGUGGAGGAAGAGAGGAGGAGGACCCGGAGUCUCGCCGCGGGAGGGUGCCCAGGGCGAGGGCGUGCGAGGGGGAGUGACUCCGCGCGCGAGGGGCAGCAGCACCUGCUUGAGACCAAGCCCGGCGACCUGGCAAGGUGGGGCCCCCUACCGCGCAAUCUUUGCGGCUGGCCCCCGGCUCUCAGCUCCGAGUGCAGAGGCUGAAGAGGUACCCGGGGGACACACUGCCUCUAACCCCACCUAUGAGCCGCUCUCCUCUCGGAGGACGAAGGCACCAUCAGAAGGUCGAGAUUCGCCCUCCUCUCCCGCCACGUCUACCCACUACCUAGACCGGGAGUCUGGACUUGGGAGCGUGAACUCUCACCCGAGCCGGUCCCCUUACAACUGGAGCCCGCCCAGCCCCUCAGUCCCUCCCUGAAGCCCAUGGGUCCCCACUGCUCCGUGCCUCGUCGACCCAGGAUGGGGAGUGGGAAGGUCAGCAUGUGCCCACAGGGCCAGGUGUCCGGCCCAGAUUCCCACCCUCAGGGCGGCGGCGCGCAAAGGGCGCAGUCCCCGCCGCUGGGCGGACCCGCGGCUCCGGCUUUCCCGGUGUCUCCAGCCUCGGUGCCCGGAAUCCUGGAUCUCGGCCUGGCGCUCCGGAAGCGAGGCAGCUCCGUGCCCCAGCAGGGACGGGGAACGCUUGGCUUGAGAGAUCACAUUUCUGGGUGUGGAGAGGUUUGAACUCCUGUACAUUCUCACUGUUGUUUAGCAUCUUGGGGGCAGCUCAGGGGUUGAGUGCCCCCCUCAGUGUUUGGAGGCUUCAGGAGACAGUUGGGCACAUCAUUUCUCCUCAGAAAGUCAACUAAUGGGACAGUUGUGGCCUCCUGAGACUCGUAAGCUCCGUUUGAAGACCAGACACUGGUCCAGACACCUGCCCCCUCAUUCCUCAUAAGCUCGUAACUCAUUGCUUAAGUGUGGUAGCUGUAGACUAUUCUCUCCUUUCUGUCUUAACCAUCUAGGGAAAAUAGGAAAGACUGGGAUUUCUAGUCUAGGCCAGUGUGGGUUUUGUUUACCAGUCCUUCCUACAACCAGGUGAUCUGCAAAAUGAGAGCAAGCGAUGGGGAGAAAGGAGGCCCCUUGAUUCGGGCAGCUGGAGUAGUCCUGCUGCCCAGGAGAUGCUGUCCCUCCCACCAGUCCCCAGUCAUCUAUUGCAUCUUUCCAGCACUGCCUGUCCUCACCUUCCCCCUCUGCCUCUGGUCCCGGCCUGGCCGGGAUUUUCACUUGCUUUUCCCCCAUGACACGGCCGCUUUUCCUUUAACUCUCAGCUUCUAUUUAAAAAGCUAAUUUGGGAGCUUGUCGAUGCUCCCAAUUCAGACAUUUUAAAUAGGAACUGAAAGUCAGGAGCUGCCAGGGCACUAGAUUUCCUCCCGUUGCCACCAGCACAGCUGAGGCAUUUGUUCAGUCACUCCUCUGGCCCUGGCCGUGUGUGUCUGUGUGUGUGAGCACCCGCGAGCUCAGGGUGUAUUUCAGGCUAUCUUUUCUAUUUAAAGACGGUGCUCCUAUGGAUGACUAUUCUUUCUCUGUGUGUGUGUCCUUUCCAAGCUGUGCACACAUGAGGAUUCUUCUUUAGUCUCAUGGCUGUGGCCGGUAUUUGCAAAGCUUGUCACCGUGUGGACUGUGAGGGUAAUUGGGAGCCCAGCUCAAAGUCGGCUGCUUCUUUGCUGACGUGCCAGGCUAGUGUGUCUGCGUGGCUGUUUCCCAGGGCUGCUCUGUUCAGGCUCUCUCUUUGAAGCUAUGCCUCAUAUGCCUGAGAAUGUCCUUAAGGGUCACUCCCACCCUCACUGCUUAUAGCUGUCCCAUUUUAGCAAUCUGCCCCAUGCUGGGGCAAGAAUUUUGGGGGUGGGCUGUACCUCUGAGGGUUACAGCCUUUCUACAUUUAGGGUGCUAUGUACCUUAGAAGUAAAAAGUACAGACUUUGAGGUGAGACUGCCUGGGUUUGAACCUGCGUCUGCUGUUAAUUAGCUGUGUGAUCAUGUGGAAGGUACUUAAUCCCUCUGUGCCAUGAUUUCUUCCUCUCUCAAAUGGCAAUAAAUAAUACUAUCUACUUUAUAGGGUUGUGAAAAUUAAAUGAAGUAACACAGAUAAAGUGCUUAGAAUCGUGCCUGGAACAUGGGAAGUACAAUAUAAUUGUUGGUUGUUGUUGUUCAAGGUAGGAGUGGUGCAGGCAGGAGGUGCAAAGAAAUCUGUCUGAGGAGGAAGAUAGAACUGCCGGAUUGUACACAGAGACACAUAUAGUCACUCACCCACCCAUGCAUGUAACAAUAAAAAUGGCAGGCCACAGCCCACAGGCAGUCAAGUUCACCUUGCUGAGAUAGUUAAUUCUGUAAGUCCCAGAAAAGGGAGAUUUCUGUUGAAGGAAUAGAGGAAGAGUCUAGGGAUAGAGAUGAGGAAGGGGCUUGACCAUGUCAGAAGCCCAUGGGACAUUUCUUGGGAGCCGAUUUUAUGCUGAAGAGUAAGUCCCGGGCCCCUCACUAUCCAUGUGGUCCCAGCCUCCCUUAUUUAACCACUGAAAGCAAGGCCUUUUGAAAGUGAGCUCCAGCGAGAAACUCAGGAGGGUGGCACCUCAUUCUCCCCAAGGCUCCCCUUGGGUUUGGGGUACUCUCACUUUCAUACUGCCAUUGCGUUCCAUCCCUUAUUCCCACAGCUGGGCAUGUGAGCUUUUAUUCAGUUGCUAUUAGAGUUUAUUUCACCUCGAUGGGCCCGCAGGAAGCUGCUAGCAGGAAGAGGAGCUCUGAAGGACAGGAGGCUGUCCAAGGGAUGAAAGCAACGUUGCAAAUGCUUGGCUUAGCAUAUCAGCUGUAAGCUGAGGAGCCACCAUAUGUUGGGCUCCUUGCUAGAUUUUCCAUAAUCCUGCACUGUAGAUAUUACCAUCAUUUUAUUGAUAGAGAACCUGAAGGUAGCUGGUGGAGAGGGACACUCCAGAAGGAUGUGAGGCUGCAUAGCUGGAUUGGAACUCUGACCUCUCCCUUUUGCCGCUAUCCCAGGAUCCUUGGUUUCCCCGCUUCUGAAAGUAGAGUAUCCUCCUCAGUCAGAUAGAGGGGCUAUCCUAAGAGGACACUCUUGACCUCUCCUGUAUUUGGCCUCCAUAAGUUAUGUGUGGGGUUGACAUAGUUUGAAUAUUUGUCCCCUCCAAAUCUCAUGUUAAAAUGCAACCCCCAAUGUUGGAGGUGGGCCUAGUGGGAGGUGUUCAGGUUAUGGGGGCAUAUCCCUCAUGCAUGUCUUGGUGCCCUCCCCAUGGUAAUGAGUGAGUUCCUGCUCUAUUAGUUCACGUGAGAGCUGGUUGUUGUAAUGUGUCUGGCACCUCCUUCCUCUCUCUCUUGCUCUCCCUUGCCAUGUGACACAUCUGCUUCCCUUUCCCACCCGCCAUGAAUAAAAGCUUCCUGAGACCUCACCAGAAGCAGAUGCUAGUGCCGUGUUUGUACAGCCUGCAGAAACCAUGAGCCAAAUAAACCUGGACUAAUACGGGGGUGGAGGCUCAGUAUGUCCAGGGUGGGGAUGCACCCUAUUUUUCUUCAGGGUGAUGUCUGCCUGAGGAAUUCCAAAGCUUAGGGGUGGCUUGGCUUUCUCUAGUUUCCCAAGGUGGGGUAGGAGGUGGUGGUGUAAAUGCUGACGAGCUUUGCCCCAGUCUCAGAAGGCCAGGGCUUUGCCUACCGGGUAUCAGCCCAGGUUGUCCAGCUUCCAGGCCAGGAGGCACUGUCCAACAUUGGUGGCCCCAAUGGCUGAAUGCUCACAACUAUCAGAUGCUUCUAGUCCCUUUCUGAGGGUGGAGAACUCUUGCUUCCUGCAGCACUAACUCCAUUUUGGAGGCCAGUAGUGGCCUGGAUGGUCAUCUCAUUGAUCAAUAUGCUUAGACCAGUUAUGGCAAAUGAGAAGCCAUCCAACUUGCUGGGCUCCAGUGGAGCUUCUGAAAGUCAGCCCUUCCAGUGGACCUUCUGCCAGCCUGACCCCUGCUCCAACCAAGGCAGCUCCUGGGGAAAGCAAAGUCCAGGUGGAGGGUUUUCUGCUCAUCAAGACCUCCCUUGGAGGGAGAUGCUAGGGAAGGAAGAGGAGGGAAGAGAAGGAGGAAAGCAAAUAUGAGAAGGAGAGAUAGGUACUGGGAGUUUGGGGGAAAUCCUAAUCAUUUGUUUAGUUUCUUGCUAGAAAAUCUGGAGAAGGGUGAGUGGAGGCUGGGGAUAUAACUCUUAGGUGCAAUGACUUGUUUUCUGCUGGUGGUUUCUUUUGCUUGUGUGCUGAUGUUUCCCAGGUCUCUGUCCUUGGCCUUCUUUGCUUCUCUCUCUGCCCUUUUCCCUGGAGAGUUUAUGCAAGUCCAUGGUUUCAAGUUCACUCAGAUGCUUAUGAUUUCUUCCUGCACUCUUCUGUUCCCAGUAAUGAUCCACUGUGCAUCUCCAUCUUUGUACAUAGGCACCUCUAUGCUUCAUCUCACCAGUGGCCUUAAUCCUUCUGCAAUCAAUUGUUUCCCCUAAAAAACCCUCUUCCUAUCAUGGUAUAUCCUCUACUUUCUUUCCAGCCUUACCUUCUUCUACUUACUCACAUCUUCCUUUCUAGCAUGUAGAUCUUUUCUUCAUUACCUGCAAAAUCUCAUAUCUUCAUGUCUUUGUACAUGCUGCACCCUCUUCCAGAAAUGCCUUCCACCACUUCCUAUUUCCUUUGUCUUCCUAGCAAACUUCCACUCAGCCUCAAACCUUAAAUACCCAAGAAAAAAGUCAUGUAAGUGUUGGUAAAGUCCUCCCCCACAUCCCAGGAUGAACUAGUCGUUCCCCACUUUGGAUUUUCACAGUCCUUCCUGCAUACCUCAAAUAUGGUUCUUAUGACCUGUAUGGCCUUGUUUUCUGCAUAGUGGUAUCCCUCUCUGGACUUCAAGCUGUUUAUGGCAAGGACCGUUGUCAGCCAUUUCUGAAUCCUAGCUCAGUGCUCGGGACAUUGCAGAUGUUCAAUACAUUUGCAUUAAUAAUUUAUUUUAACUUUAAUUUACGUGGCUCCCUUGAUUGUAUGUAACUGGGAAUAUGUGAUUAAUUUGUCAACUGGUUGGUCUCCAGGUCCUAUCUGAUUGAUCUUAAGCACUAGCAUGAGGACAGAAAGAAGAAUGAGGGUGUUCCAUUUUCAGCUGAUCCUACAUGAAAAGAGCCCCAAAGCCCCACUCCUCCAGUAGGGAGGAAAGGAAAGUCUUUUCGUAUCUACAAAGUGAGCCUCAGUCGAUGCUGCCUGCAGAGACCUUGCCAGUGUUCUUUUCUUGAACCAGAUUGGUUUUCAGAUAACUCUUUUCUUUCCUUUCUGGCAGAAUGUCAAUCACAUAUCCAGAAUAUCACCUCCUUGGGCACAGCCAGGGCAUGGUCCAUUGAAAAUGUUCCUGAUUGCUGGAAGCUGACGGCUCACCAUAAAAGCCAAAAUGGGGACCUGUCAAAAAUGUUUUAGCCAAACUAUGGCUUGGCUCAGGAAGAUGCCAAGACCAAAGGCUGCUGAACUUUAAGUAUAAACUUGCAUGAAAAGCACAUUGCAGGUCUGAGACAGUGGAGGCUUAGUGGUGAGAACAUGAGCUCUGGAUAGACCUGGCUUCAAGUCUUGGCUCUGUCAUUCACCAGCUGUGUGAAUUUGGGCAAACCACUUUUCUUCUCUGAUGCUCAGUUCCCUCACCUAGCAAAAUGGGUUAUAAUGAUGGCAUCAACUCAUAAGGUUCAUGAGGACUGAGCUAGAUAAUGCAAACAACAUGUUUCAUAUACAAUAAUAAAUAAAAAUGUUGGCUGUUAUAAUAUUGUCACUGAGUCUACAUGUAUCUGAAACUAGCUCUUUUAAAUCCUGGGUACAGCUUUACAAGCAGUAUUGUGUAGUUUAGACAGAUCACCUGAGUUCUUUCUAUGUAAUUAUUGUUUCUACUGAACCUUGGUAAAUGUGUGAAAUCACAGAAGUUUGUCCCUAGACACUCCCCUCACCCCACUGGCUCCUCUCUCCAUUCUGUGCAACCCCAUUUCUGCAGCCUUGAGCUUCAGCCCAUUUCUCUCCAUUUCCUCCUCAUUAGCAAGAACUGAUAAAAUUAUUUGAACUGAUAUGUAAGUGACCAUCUCAUCCAGAGAUAUAGUAUUCACAUUUUAGUAGGUCAGAGCCUUAAGCCAAGGCAGUGAAAUAGAGUGGAUGGUACUUCAAGCAUUCAUCAAAGUAAUGGGGAAAGUUUGGGGUCCCAGGAGACUCUUCCCAAUUCCACAGAGUCCUGCCCAUUCAUAAAACUGGUACUAUUGAUGCAUUAUAAGCAACAAGGUGGUCCGUGUUUGAAUUCUGCAGCUGGAAAAUCAAGUCUCCAGCUUUUGCAAAAGUGUUGUAAUAGGGAAACUUGGACACUAAUUUUAUAUACCAACCUCUUCUUGGUAAAGAGACAUAGCUCAUGAGCACCAAGGCCUUUCCAGCAUUGCACAUCUAUGAUACUUAUACUCAAGUGCAUUUUUUUCUUCAGAGCUCAAGGCUAGAGUUGGGUGUUUUUGCCUCACUGGGUUUGUAGGAGACUCAGCUACAAAGUCAUUAAUUGCUUUGGUGAAUCAACAAGUAAAGAAAGACAGUCCAGCUAUUGUCCCCACACUGCAAAAUCAUAAGAGGCUUCUGGACUUCUCCACAAAAUCCUCAUUAAAGAUGAGUCCUCAUGGCUCUUACAGAAUUCUUUAUUAUGUCCUUUGUGCUGAGACUGCAAGGUAAAGAAAGAAAAAAGGGAAAUAACUAAAUUUGUUAUCAUGGAAAAUUUCAAACAUACAAAAGAUGAAAGAAUUGUAUAAUAUACCCCCAUGAACUUGUCAUUUAGCUUUGAAAGUUACCAACUCAUGGCCAAUCAUUUUUCAUCUGUACCCUACUCACACACUCCCCCACCAUAAUUUUGAAACAAAUUCCAAAUAUAAUUUCAUCUGUAAAUAUUUCUGUGAUUGCACCUUUGUUAUGGCCAACAAAAUCCAUCUUUCUAGAAGAGAAGUCAUUCUUCCCUCCCUCCAUGAUGCUAAGAACAUUUGGCCAGUACCUGCAUCCAUGCCCAGGAGUGGUCUCUGGGUUAGGCAAGCUUGAGGGUUUACUGAAUGUUAUCCAAAGUUUGUCCUUUUCCUUGGGUAGAAAAAGGAACCCAUAAAAUGUCUGGUAGAGGUGCCACUGUGUGCAAGCUUUUUUUUUUUUUUUUUUUUUUUUUUGUCAGCAGGGAUGAUGCUCAAUAGCUGUGAUGAGGUCCAAGCUGAGAGAAAAGAGUCAUGAUCAUGAAUCCCAACUGGAUUCAUCAUUUUCCACAUACUUUACUUCAUUUAGCUUUCACCAAUUCUCAUGUUAGUUCCAUUUUACAGAUAAGAAAACUAAGACCUAAGCUCACCCAGCUAGUAGUUACUUGUGGCAGAGACAGACUAGAUGCCAAUCAAAUUCAGUUCCUCUUUUCUGUAGAUACAGUUAGAUUACUUUCCCAGGUUCUCUUGCAGUUAGGUUUGGUCAUCUGACUAAGUUCUAGCCAAAGUAAUAUAGGCCAGUCCCAUGAAAAACAUCUAGGGCAAUUUAGCAUGUUCUUUCUUUCUCCAUCCACUGGCUGAAUGGAAAAAAUUUCAAGGGCUUAGAAGGGGACAGAGCCACAAGAAGGAAGGAACUUGGGUCCCUGGGUGACUAUGUGAAGUAGAGGUCCCUCCCAACUUCCUUUGAACUGUGAAAUACGCAAAAUAAAUAAAUAAAUAAAUUUUUAUUAUGUGAAACUGCUGAAAUGUGGGUGAUGUAUGUUCAAGUAGUAAUGCCUACCCUGACCAAUACAGUGGCAUAGAUGGGAUUUAAACCCUCAAUCUGACUAUGCCAGUGUCCAAAGUCUUCCCCUAAACCACACUGCCUCCAGGCACAACAAAUAAGAAUUGCUUAUAAGAAUCACCUACAUGCUCAGCAUGUGAUAGGACUGUCUUCAAGGAGAUCUCGCAUCUUAGAUUUGUGCUAAUAUGAUAGCCACUAGCCACAUGGGGCUGUUUAAAUUAAAGUUUAAAUUAAUUAAAAUAAAGUUAAAAAUUCAGUUUCUUAAUUGCAGGCUCACAUUUCAAGUGUGCAGUAGUCUUAUGUAGCUAAUGGCUACCACAUUGGAAUGUGCAGACAGAGAACAUUUCCGUCAUCAUGGAAAGUGCUGUUGGAUAAUGCUGUCUUAGAUAGACCUUCAUUCACAACGCACCCCUCCCCAGACCCCUGCAGAAAAGCUGGAAGAAGACGGGGAUGCUGCUCAC
rnacentral:lncRNA from 1 species